rnacentral:rRNA from 1 species
UUAAAUUGAAGAGUUUGAUCAUGGCUCAGAUUGAACGCUGGCGGCAGGCAUAACACAUGCAAGUCGAACGGUAACAGGAAGAAGCUUGCUUCUUUGCUGACGAGUGGCGGACGGGUGAGUAAUGUCUGGGAAACU